AUUAGAUACCCUGGUAGUCCACGCAGUAAACGAUGAAUGCUAAUUGUCCGUUGCGAGUGAGCGAUGGGUGAUACAGCGAAAGCGUUAAGCAUUCCACCUGGGGAGUACGCCGGCAACGGUGAAACUCAAAGGAAUUGACGGGGGCCCGCACAAGCGGAGGAACAUGUGGUUUAAUUCGAUGAUACGCGAGGAACCUUACCCGGGCUCAAACGCCGUCUGACGUAGGCUGAAAGGCUUAUUUCUUCGGACAGACGGCGAGGUGCUGCAUGGUUGUCGUCAGCUCGUGCCGUGAGGUGUCGGCUUAAGUGCCAUAACGAGCGCAACCCCUACCGUCAGUUGCCAACAGGUAAGGCUGGGGACUCUGACGGGACUGCCGGCGCAAGCUGCGAGGAAGGCGGGGAUGACGUCAAAUCAGCACGGCCCUUACGUCCGGGGCGACACACGUGUUACAAUGGCAGGUACAGCGGGAAGCCACCUGGCGACAGGGCGCGGAACCCGAAAACCUGUCUCAGUUCGGAUUGGAGUCUGCAACCCGACUCCAUGAAGCUGGAUUCGCUAGUAAUCGCGCAUCAGCCACGGCGCGGUGAAUACGUUCCCGGGCCUUGUACACACCGCCCGUCAAGCCAUGGGAGCCGGGAGUGCCUGAAGUGCGUGAGCGCGAGCAGCGCCCUA
rnacentral:rRNA from 1 species